rnacentral:lncRNA from 1 species
GAUUGCAGUGUCAGAUUAGACAUCAAGCAUGUUCCGAGGCUCCAACGCUUUAUUGGUGCAACAUGCCUUAAGGAAACAAAUCAAUGAGCUUCAAGAUAGACAUUGAAAUCCCAAAAUCUAUGGGAUGCCUGAGAUCGAUCGGAUGAACUCUGAUAUUCUGAAAUGGAGGAAAUUAGAUGCCCGGCUAGAUCCUCCCUCUCUUGUCAGUGGCAUUGUAUUAGAUCCCAUGCUGCCCCAACACCCACUUUUUCCCAUAUAUUUGUUCUUGUUCCAUGCUUCAAAUAGGAAAUAGUGCAAAAAGAGCUGUCGAAUCCAAACCAUGGUCCCUAAUCUCCCUUAGUAGAACAGUUGUGGUUGUUGGUGGCGACGAUCUAAGCUUCUUCUCUCUAUUACCAACCCCUGUCUCUUGUUAGAUAAAUCACACAUAUAAAGGCACGCAUUGAAACUAAUAGCAUGCAUGGCUUUGAAAUAUUAUGCAUCCUUGUACCAAAAAAGAUAUUAUGCGGUCCAAUAUCAGCACUGGUAGCAGAAGAAUGAAUACAAGUCUU